rnacentral:lncRNA from 1 species
CCUUCAUAGAGUUAUUAAAUUUGAUAAAAUUUUAGCAUAACAAAAUUAAAAUUAGAAGUUGAGGUGGUCUCAAUAAGGAAAAAAGUAAUUGUAAUACUCCAAAUAAUCCCACAUUGGAUAGAAAAAAAGUUAUGGUUGAAAAUAUAAGAGAUCUUAAACUUUAGUAAUAAUAAUCGGGCUUAAACAUUUUAGAUCAGUGGUUUAGAGACAACGAGUUAUUAUUGUUAAUAUGGAGUUGUUAUUGUUAAUAUGUCAAAUCAUUAAAUUUGUUAUCAAAGUCGAAUACCAGUUGAAAAUAUUCGUGUUUAUAACAUUAUUAUGAUUGAUUCAGUCUAUAAAAUUUAGUAAUCUUGACAAUAAAAUAUAUAGUCUAUUCCAAAAUUACGCUUAGUCAUAUUUGGCAAACUUUUUUACUAAAUUUUAUUUUAAAUAAUUUAAAAUUUUAAAUUUUAAAAUUUAAAUUUUAAAUUUGAACAUAAAU